rnacentral:rRNA from 1 species
UGGGGAAUCUUAGACAAUGGGGGCAACCCUGAUCUAGCCAUGCCGCGUGAUCGAUGAAGGCCUUAGGGUUGUAAAGAUCUUUCAGUGGGGAAGAUAAUGACGGUACCCACAGAAGAAGCCCCGGCUAACUCCGUGCCAGCAGCCGCGGUAAUACGGAGGGGGCUAGCGUUGUUCGGAAUUACUGGGCGUAAAGCGCACGUAGGCGGAUUGGAAAGUUGGGGGUGAAAUCCCGGGGCUCAACCCCGGAACUGCUUUCAAAACUCCCAGUCUUGAGUUCGAGAGAGGUGAGCGGAAUUCCGAGUGUAGAGGUGAAAUUCGUAGAUAUUCGGAGGAACACCAGUGGCGAAGGCGGCUCACUGGCUCGAUACUGACGCUGAGGUGCGAAAGCGUGGGGAGCAAACA